AUAUUUUUGAUAAUCGUCAAUUAAAAGGAGACAUUUUUUCAAUACUUGGUUUAUGUUUCUUUACUCCCGCUGAAAGUUCCUGCUAAGAAGUGGAUGCCUGUGAUUUUUAACUUAGAGCAGAGCAGAAGGGAUGUAAUUCCCUUCACUAAUAGGUCUAGUGCUGUGUAAUUCUGACAAACUCUCUCUCUCUCGGGGGGUUUUGUGAGGGAGGUUGUGGUGGGGAGUUGUAGAGUUGAUGGCCCUAAAUUUACAUUGAAAUUAUUAUCAUUCAUACUUAUCUCAUGUCAUUACUGUCACUAUUAAUAUGGUGGACAUGUAAUAUACUGGACAAGACGCUUGCUUUGUGAGCUUCUGAUAGUACUUCUUGCUGGACAGGUUCUUUGACUUAUAUAAAGUUCCAAUUCACUGUGUGUUGCUGUACCA
rnacentral:lncRNA from 1 species